GUACCCUCAAGCUUUGCUUGGUGUUGGGUGUUUUGUCCUUUCCUCGCGUUUGGACUCACCUUAAAGUUAUUGGCAGCCAGUGUAUUGGUUUGAAGCGCAGCACAAUUUGCGAUUCAGGCUGGUGAUCACUUGCGUCCAACAAGUAUUUUUAACAC
rnacentral:misc_RNA from 1 species